UUUUUUUUUGCUGUACGCGGGCCUCUCACUGUUGUGGCCUCUCCCAUUGCGGAGCACAGGCUCCGGACGCGCAGGCUCAGCAGCCAUGGCUCACGGGCCCAGCCGCUCCGCGGCAUGUGGGAUCUUCCCGGACCGGGGCACGAACCCAUGUUCCCUGCAUCGGCAGGUGGACUCUCAACCACUGCGCCACCAGGGAAGCUCCCCCAUUUCUUCUUUUUCCUAGAGAAUUCAUCUUCUCCAAGUUUGCUGGGAUGGGGAGUGAAAAAUUUUGUGUCUCUGUUGUACCCCUUGAAUGUAUCCCUUCCUCUUAAACUCCCCAUUCGCCCAGGACACAUCUGAAACCCAGAGAGCCAUCUGUCAUCUGCUCUGAGUCUCAGAUUUAAUUCUAACGCAGGCCUCAAGGUUAAAGGGCCUGUUUGCCUCAGUCUCCAACAGCCUUUAAAAGUCAAUCCCCAUAAAAAGCUUUAUUCUUCCCCUGUCCAGAGGAAGCCUCAGGAUUUGUUUUCUUUUACCCUAAAUAUAUUUGCUCUACACCAGUAGGUGGCAGUAUUUCUAUGCUUUUCUCCCCUCCAUGCUCUGCUAUAAACAGGACUUAUGGGAAAGCAGAGUAGGUUGGAACGGUAUUAAGGGUUCCCUUCCCCACCCCAAAGGAACCCAUUACCUUGUUAGUUUCGUUCAUUUGAGAACAGAUAAUCUUUCACUUUUUAAAGUUUUAAACUUAAAAAUUCUUUUUAUUUUGAAACCAUCUCAAAUUUACCUAAAAGUUGCAAUUAUAGUACAAGGCCCUUAGCUUUUUCAGAAUAUUUUGAGUUAGUUGCUGUUGUGAGGCGCCAGCACCGCCGAGUACUUUGUGUUUCCUGCAGACAAGGGCACCUCCUCCACGCUCUAGACGGCCUUCAAAGUCAGAACAUUGGCAAUUGUGCGUCACUAUCGCGUAACCCUCAGAUACCGUUCAAGUUUCACUUCUUGUUCCGGUGAUGCCCUCUACGGCAGACGGACCCAGUCCAGAAUGACCACUGCAUUGAGUAAUCAUGUUCCCUCCCUUAGAAGCUGCCACGGUGUAGUUAGAAGUUCCCUGCAUCACAGAGCCUGUGGAAAUGGUGAUGCAGGGAAGAACACUCCUUUCUUUGUUCGCGAAUCUGAUCCAUAUGGAUAGAGUAUUUAGCCUACAUGCAGAGUCCUGUAGAGGCUCCAAACAGGAAGCCUCUAAAUUAGCCAGCAGCGAGUUUUUAAGGUUACCGGGAUGCCAUAUUCAGUUUUCAGACAUUUUCACCAACCGCAGUUGAGGACAACCGCGCGUGGGUGUCAACCAUGAUGUUGCUUUUCGAUUUGACUCCCUCUACUUCCUGCCAAGGAGUUUCUUUCUACGAGAAGGCAUCGCAGCUGCUCUCCUCCUACCUGUACACUGCAGGAGCCCCGGACAGUUCCCUGCUUCUUACUGUGCCCCUCCCAUGGGUUGAACUGCAUCACCCUAAAAGGAGAAGAGACAUGGAAACACACACACACAGGGAAGACAGCCAUGUGAGGAUGGAGGCGGAGAGUGGAGCGAUGCUGCCACAAGCCCAGGGCUGCCUGGGGACACCAAGAGCUGGAAAAGGCAAGGAAUCCUCCUCCCCUAGAGACUUUGGAGGGAGCGAGACCUUUGAUCUUUUUUCUUUUUUCGGCCACACAGCAUGUGGGAUUUUAGUUCCCUGACCAGGGAUUGAACCUGUGCCCCCUGCAGUGGAAGCACGGAGCCCUAACCACUGGACUGCCAGGGAAUUCCCUCAACACCUUGAUUUUGGACUUCUAGCCUCCAGAACUGUGAGACAAUAAAUUUCUGUCGUCUUAAGCUGCCCAGUUUGUGGUACUUUACUAUGGCAGGCUGAAGAAGCUAAUACACGUCCUAUAAUCACUUUUUAUGCACAACGGCCAGAGGAACCUUUGCAACUUAAGUCAGAUUGUGCCCUUUCUCUGCAUAAAAACCUCUUUUGAUUUUCCUCUGAAUUUAUGAUGAAAUCCAAGCUCUUUGCCAGGCGCAAUGAGGCCUUACACAUCUGGCCCUGAUGAUUUCUGGUCUCACCACCUACCCCCACCUCUGUUCCUCCUGUUUGUUUCUGGAACAGGGUUGCUGACUCUUUCCACUCACUGGGUCUAUGACCCUGAAGGAAUGAGUUGGAGUCACUAACCUCACCCCGAGUAUUGCUUCAUUUCCUCCAGAUCACAUAUCCCGACGUCGCAUUUCUGUACUAGCUCGUCAUUGGUCCUAGUCCCUCUAUGGUGAAGGUCGUGAGGUCUGAGCUCACCACGUUGCCAUGUCCUGUGUCCAGAACAGUGCUGGGCACAGCUAGUGUGGGAGCUUCAUAUAUAUUUGAAUGAGCAGUCAAGCCUCAUCCAAGGAGAGGCCCGAAGACAUCUCAACACACCUAACGACUGAGAGGUCACAUUUUGGCAUCAGAGUGUCCUGGUCUGUGUGAGGUUCUUUUCACCCUUCUCAAGGGUCAUCCCAUGUGCCUCUAAUGUUAAAUUCUGCUUGAUCAAGCAAAUAUGACAAAGUGUUAAUGGUUGGUGCAUCUAGGUGAAGGGGGUAUGGGUAUUCAUUGUACCAUUCUGUCAUCUUACUCUACGUUUGAAAUUUUUCAAAAGAAAAAGUUGGGGGAAAAAAUCAGCCAAAGAAAAUACUGUAUGAUUUCAAAUCGCCUUAAGAGAAACUUUGUGUUGUAGGCCUGAAGGACUAACAGCCUGAUUGUAUCAGAUAAUUGACAGUAGAGUAUUUGGUUCAUUCGGGAAUAUGAUGCAUCUGAUGGCCAACAUGUCUAUUUUAUGUAUCUUUAAGGUCAGUCAGAGGUCUUUGCAACAAAACAGGGCAAGAUUAGCAUGCCACAUAUGUUUUAUUUCUGCUGUGGAAACCUGAGAUGUAGUUUUCAUGGGUGAAUGGCAUUCUGUGUUGUCUCCCUGGGACCCUCACCCCUCUGAGCCUUUCACAGAGGGAUCGUCCUCUGUAGAACUUCAGGUGUGUUUCCAGAUGCUCCUCCUGGAAUUGUGUCAGGUGACCCCAAACCCACGAACCAAGACUUUUCUGUUUGUGUUUAAGCCCUGUCCCACUUUCAGGAAACACUGGGCCUCUGGUUCUCUCUGGACAACUGAAACAAAGAGUGAAAUUCUAGAAUUCUCUUAUGGAAUGCAGCAAAAGCAGUUCUAAGAGGGAAGUUCAUCAGACUUGUGGUUGCCGAGGGUUGGGGGAAAGGAGAGGGUUGGAUUGGGAGUUUGGGGAUUAGCAAAUGCAAACCAUUAUGUAUAGGAUGGAUAAACAACAAGGUCCUACCGUAUAGCACAGGGAACUAUAUUCAAUAUCCUGUGAUAAAUUAUAAUUGAAAAGAAUAUUAAAAAGAAUGUAUAUAUAUAUAUGUGUAUAACUGAAUCACUUUGCUGUAUAGCAGAAAUUAACACAACAUGGUAAAGCAACUAUACUUCAAUAAAAUAAAUUUAAAAAAUAAAAGAAAGAGGGAAGUUCAUAACAAUAAGUGCUUCCAUCAGGAAACAAGACAAAUCUUCAAUAACAACCUAACUUUACACCUCAAGGAACUAGAAGAGGAAGAACAAAGUCCAGAGUUAGUAGAAGGAAGGAAAUAACAAAAACUAAGGCGGAAAUAAAAGAAAUAGAGAAUAAAAAGACAAAAGAAAAUAUCAAUGAAAUGAUAUUUAGAGCUGGUUCAUUGAAAAGAUAAACAAAAUUGACAAAUCUUUAGCUAGAAUCACUCAGAAUGUUCUCAGGUGUGGUGAGUAAAAAUUAACAGAAUUUCUUUUGGAAGGUAUGAAAUGAUCUAAAAAUUAAGCAAUGCACCAAUAAUGGAAGGAUAUGACAGAAGGAGCUCAAAAAGAUUGAUACUCAUGUCUCUUAAGGACUUUUCGUUGCAAAUAUGAUAGUUGACCAUUUUUCCUGGUAGACUAAAUAAAAGGAGGGGGGCAAAAAUGGGAAAAUUCUUAAAGUUACAUAAACUACAACAGGAAGACCUGAGGUUUCAAGUUAUUUUGGGCUUUGCACAUUGAAUCACUUGAUGAUGAAUGAAAGGAUUUGAUUUUGUUCAUCACCUCUUAACUGGUAGAUGGUUUUUCUAAAGAGUGACAGGAUGCGGUCAGCCACGCUGAGAGAGUCACUGUCCUGGUGGUCUCUGGGGUGGAGGGGAAUAACUAGAACUCAUCACCUAUGUUGUCAUUCAAAGCAUAACUUGACCCUUCACAAUUGCCUGACUGUCCUGCAAUUUCUUCUCCUGGGCUUUUAGCUGCCUGCACCCAGCCUCUUGGGGCCUGGGUCCUGCCCCACUCCCCCUUCCCCACACCUCUGCCUGGGAUCCCUGCUGCCCUCUGCCCUGGGGCGUUGGUGGGGGAGGUCCAUGCUCCAUUUCUGCUGCCAUUUCCUACUCCUGGCGGGGCCUGUUUGUAGGUGCAGGAGGAUCAGAGUCAAGUGCAGGCCCCGUGGCAUCUGGGACAGGGCAAGGCAGUGGCCUCUCACCCACUCCUGGUCCAGGUACACAGCAUGUCCCACACAGAGGUUGCAAUCCCUUGGGGGUCUCCCAUUUUUUGUGUGUUGGGGAGAUGGGCCCGAGGGAAGGGGAGGUUCACUUCCCCACCCCACUGGGCUGUGCAUUUUCAUUUUGCAUUGGGUUCUGCACAUUAUGUAGCUGGCCCCGUGUGCCAGGACCUGGGGCAGCAGCAAAGCAGCAGAGGAGGGGAGGUAUGGAUACAUUCUCCCUAUUAAUUCCAUCCCUGGUUGGUUCUGGUAUCAGGCUACAAAACUUUCCUUUACGAAACUUUAUCAACGCUGCUCAGACUUCUUGCCUUUAUUCACAUAAUUUUUCUGUUCUGGAAUGUCUUCUUCUAGCCUCUCUGAUUUUCCAACUUCUCCUUAUUUUUAAAGGCCCAAAUCAAUAUUCAUCUCUCUCACAAGACUUCCGGCCCACUCCAGGCAUCAUUGCUGAUUCUCUGCUCUGAAAUCAGGCUGUAUCUUAGUACUAUUUCCGAAUUAAACAUAGAUUUCUCAUUGUACAUGCAGUGUUCGUUGUUUAGCCUUGUUAUUGAACUUGUCGUGUGCUAGUGUCUUGUUUACAUGACUCUGUUCUUGCCUCGGUCUCCUAGGAAAUGUUCUAGAUGCGAGCAUACAUAUUUGUUGCUUGAAUGAUACGUUGGAUGUGUGAUGGCGUUUUUGGAAAAUAAGGGAAUGAUGAAGACCGUACUUCCUUUAGAAGUUGUUGAUUGGUCAAAAUCAAACUUCUGAUUUAAGUGAUUUUGAAUGAUAAAUUCGAGAAGAAGUAAUGAUGAAUUAGAAACUGACCAUGAAAAAACGAAUAUUUCAGCUGGAAGAUAGCGGUUUCAGCAGGAGUAGUUCUGCUUGAUUUGAACCCUGUUUUUAGCAAUCGCGAGGUUACUGUAGCUCUGAAUGGAAUUCUCACUGUGACGUGAGCAUGUGUCUUUUUCCAGACCCACAAAUUAUGCUCUGUACCCCAAACAGGAGGGUAAGGAAAGUUCUGGGAACUCAGGCAAUGCUGCCUCGGCCCUGCUCAGCUUUUGAAAGUCCCCCCAGCCGGGAGCUAAUGUACUUGGGCCACACUUCACCUUCGUCUUCGCUGGAGUUUCCUCCUGACUUUGGUGAUUUCCUGGGUCUGUUGAGUUACCACAGCUCUUGCUGCAGGACCCACCACAGCAGGGUUCCCAUACUGCGAAGCACCCAAGGCUCAAAGGAUUUCAUUUCAACGAAAGAGGCUCCUUUUCUGUUUUCGUCCAGUGACCAAGGUGAACACAUGGGCCGUUAGCUCCAUUUUCGGAGGAGUUUUCAGAUCAUGCUUUAAAAACCACGAAUGAGGUCAGCGCCUCCAUGGUACCUGGAAGCUUGCAUCCAGCAGCGUUCUUGUUUUCUCACUUGGAUGGGAAAGAGCUGUGGAGGUACCGUCCUCCCGGGAGUUCCGGAGUCUGAAAACAGAGGCCUUGGGUUGUAUGAAAAGGUCUCUAUUCUUUCUUUAAAUAUUCACAGAGUCCCACGCCAGAAAACAAAACAAGAUUGCUUUAUCAGUCACCCAACAGUGAGAGAGGAAAGCCGCCCACUUCUCCAUGCUUCCUUUCAAAGUGACCUCAGCGACCCUGACAGAUUCAUGGAAUUAAUUAGAAACAACAGUAAGGAUGCCGUGGGAUGGGCGAUUUUGUCACUAGACAACGUUUCGGAACUUCCCUGAGGAGCCUCUGCUGCCUCCGACCCACCUCACUGCCCACGCACCCACCCUGCGAUGCAGACCCUCCCGGGAGGGGCUCAGACCACCUUCCCCCUUGUUGCCGCCUUCCACGUGGGCCCUCCCGGGUCCCACAAACCCACCCGACAGGCUGCCGCUCCACUCAGGCAUCUGUAGGGGUCUGAGCUUAGUCAAGCCCUGUGGCCCCCUAAGCUCUCGCCCUGACCGCAGACCCUCACUGGGUCAAGGGUGGUCGACCAGCUCAAGACUCAGUUCCCCACAGAGGCCACGUCCUGUGAGGAAAAGGAAGAGAUGGAAACCUAGCUCUCAAGGGUCUGCUCAGGGCCAGGCACUGUGCUGGGAGGAAUCUUACUCCUGUGUGAUCUCAUUUCAUCAUGUAAGUGGCCCUUCAGUUAUAUAGAAGGGGAAACAGAGGCAGAAAGAUUAAAAAACAUAUUGACGGUUGCAUUGCAUUCCAGUGGUAUCCAGGGUAGGGUGGGUCCGCUCUAGGGAAGGUGGCAAAUUAAAUCUCAUUGAUUAACCUCUAACCACGUGAGUGCUAUCUAACUGGCCAGCUUCUAGAUUAAAUUGUGGCAGGUAAAUUAUUUGGAAAAAAAUAGUUGAUUUCCACGUGACCAUAUUGUCUCUGUGAAUUAAUGACGGAAGAAAGUUCUGUAUGUUCACAUAGGAUUCCAAGGUUAUUUCAAGAAUUAUUCACAUAUGGGAAUAGUUUCACCUUCAGAACACAAACUCUCAGCUUUUGGAAUAUGGGCAUCUUAUAUGGCCCACCAAGAACCCCAUUGAAAACAUAAAUAUCAUUCAAGUUCCCAUCUCAAUUCCUGGCUCUUUUUCCCUUAGGAAAGAUCUUCCAAAAUAUAUAGUGUUUUGGAUAUGUAUGUUAUUUUUUGUUGGGAAAUAACCAUAAUAGUCACUAAUAUCUAUAUAGCUCUUAUGGCGUGCCAGGCAUUGCCUUCAGUACUUUACAUAUAUUUCCUCAUUUAAUCACCAUAACAAUCCUGUGAGGUAGAUAUCAUUCCUAUCUCCAUCUCACAUGUAAGGAAAUUGAGGCCCAGAUGGAGGCCCAGAGAGGUUAAGAACUUGCCUGAGGACAAACAGCUGGUAGAUGGUAGAGCCAAGGCUUGCAGCCAGUCAGUCUGGGUUUAAAGUACGCUCAGUCUGUGGAUUAUGAGACAGAUGGUGGGAUCGUUGGGUUGUAUUACAGCAUGUCCAAAGUGAAAGGUAAGUGCACCAUUACGUAAAAAUAAUAGGUUACGGAGAAUUGACUAUAUACCAGGCUCUACAGUAACCUCUUUAGAUGUAUUUGAUAUUCAUAACAGCCCCAGACCUUUCUGACUAUGAAGCCUGUAAUUUUGACACCACCCUUCACUAUAGAGCCUCGGCUCAGAGUUGCUUUGCUUUGAGUUUCUUAGCUAUUUGUAAGGUUGAUUAUUUCUACAUGGGUUAGUUUAAUAUCUGCGUUAGGUGAUGUUUAUAGUCAAUAAUAGAUAAGCAAUCUGAACAAGUCUAACCAAAUGAAAAGAGAUAAUUUCAUUUGCUUUGAGCACUUAUAAAAUCCACAGCCAGGCAUAGCACAGGGAGAUCAGCUCAGUGCUUUGUGAUGACCU